AAAUGCUUUGAACUUGAAACACACUCAAUUCAUAGAGAAUUUUCCGGGCAACAAUAAUGUAGAACAUUGCAAUGAUCAAAACAUAUUAUUUCUACCUGAAAAGUGUAAAAAACAGUGAAAAUAUUGGUGUUUAAAAAUAUUUUUUCACUUUGACAGCAUUUUUUGCCCACCCUGUGAAAUC